AUUGAACGCUGGCGGCAUGCCUUACACAUGCAAGUCGAACGGUAACGGGCCUUCGGGUGCCGACGAGUGGCGAACGGGUGAGUAAUGCAUCGGAACGUACCUUUCAGUGAGGGAUGACGUAGCGAAAGUUACGCUAAUACCGCAUAUUCUGUGAGCAAGAAAGCGGGGGAUCGCAAGACCUUGCGCUGAUUGAGCGGCCGAUGUCAGAUUAGCUAGUUGGUGAGGUAAAGGCUCACCAAGGCGACGAUCUGUAGCGGGUCUGAGAGGAUGAUCCGCCACACUGGGACUGAGACACGGCCCAGACUCCUACGGGAGGCAGCAGUGGGGAAUUUUGGACAAUGGGGGCAACCCUGAUCCGGCCAUGCCGCGUGAGUGAAGAAGGCCUUCGGGUUGUAAAGCUCUUUCGGCCGGGAAGAAAUCGCACAGGCUAAUACCUUGUGUGGAUGACGGUACCGGAAUAAGAAGCACCGGCUAACUACGUGCCAGCAGCCGCAGUAA
rnacentral:rRNA from 1 species